rnacentral:rRNA from 1 species
CCUACGGGGGGCUGCAGUGAGGAAUAUUGGGCAAUGGACGCAAGUCUGAACCAGCAACGCCGCGUGAAUGAUGACUGCCCUCGGAGUGUAAAGCUUCUUUCUCAGGGGAGAAGCAGAUGACGGUACCCUGGAAACAAGCCACGGCUAACUACGUGCCAGCAGCCGCGGUAAUACGUAGGUGGCAAGCGUUGUCCGGAAUUACUGGGUGUAAAGGGCGCGUAGGCGGUUAGGCAAGUCAGAUGUGAAAUCCGGAGGCUCAACCUCCGAACUGCAUUUGAAACUGUUUGGCUUGAGUGCUGGAGAGGCAGACGGAAUUCCUUGUGUAGCGGUGAAAUGCGUAGAUAUAAGGAGGAACACCAGUGGCGAAGGCGGUCUGCUGGACAGUAACUGACGGUGAGGCACGAAAGCGUGGGAAGCAAACAGGAUUAGAUACCCGAGUAGUC